CUUUCUUUUUUCCCCUGUGAAGGCUCCAUAUUGACUUUCCAUCAAGACCAGGUAUUUUAUCACCGAUCUCAUACGGGAAAGCUGUGGUUGAACCUUGGCCAACUUUACCGAUUAGAUUCCAAAACCCUUGCAUUUUAACAUGAGAAAUAAUUUAGUUUGUCCAAUAUUUUAUAUUUACAGUGGAAGCUUUCGUGGCAAAACAGAACAUUGUUGUUGUUG